rnacentral:ncRNA from 1 species
UCUACGAAAGGGUAACCCCCGGGUAACCGGGGCGCACAAAGUUACCUGCCCUGAACAAAGGGUAGAGGGACUGCCGAA